CACAUGGAAUGUCUGGCAAAAUUGCUCUUGGGAGUCCCAGGACAUUGUCCAGGGCUUCCCCAGUGCCAUGGGAUAGGGUUAAUUGCUUGAGGUGUGAUGGGAAUUGUUAGGUGUGAUUUAGCAACACUCUACAUCUAAAAGGAAUGAGGAAAAACUAGCUAAGCCAGAACAACCCUGGCCCUGCUGAGGGCGGAGGGAUGUAGAGUGCAGGAGUAAAGGCGUCUUACUUGUGCUGUGUCCUUCUGUCCCCGAGGAGAGCCACUGGCCACCACGUGUCCUCUCAGCCCCACAGCCCAUCCACCCAGGUCUGUGCCAGGCUGCUGUGGUCCUGCUCUCAGCUUCCUCACACAUUUUCCAUGACUCUGAUCCCUUUUGCCUGUGUGGAGUGGAAAUACGUUCCCAGGGAGGAGGAACAAAGGCUGGGUGCUCUAAGCCACCAUGCUCUGGGCUUUGGGGAGUUUCUGAUGAUGUUUUUGACAGAGCUGCCUUUUUCUUUUCUUCUGUUGGAAUGCAUGUUGUGCUACAAACCACAGGGCAAACAGGCAGCAGAGCAAACCUACUGCAGGUGUGGGCACAGGAGAGCUGGUGCUACAGAAAAGAAGUUGCUGUUUAAUGCCAUGUGAAAGUUCUUCAGCUGGGGACACCAACAUUUAUGUGAUUUUUCAAGAAACCAAGUCCAAAGCUGAGUUUAUAGCAGAGCUAAAUUCAGCUGUUUGCAGUGGGCAGAACUGUGCAGAAGUCAGGAAGUUCUGAGUGUUGUUGAAGCAGAAACUCUUGUUCAAACCACAGAAUCUAAAGGGAAAUUAAAGGGAGCCUGGGGCUUUCAACAAGAAAUUUUUCUUUUUACAUAAUGAGAGUUUCUCAUAGCAAUGCAGAAGUUUCAGCAGGGAGAUGACACCUCGCCAGCAGGACCCAGAGCACUGGGAAUGCCGGGGAUGCUCAGGAGCAGCCUUGCAGGCAGGAAUUUGCCAGGCAGUUAUUAAAACAUCGUGCCUGCCAAGCGCAGGAGGAUUAUUUCGGCAUCAGCUCGUAUUAACUGCUCCACGCUCAGGUCGCCAUGUUUGAGCUGCGUCUGAAGCAGCUCAAGAACGGCCGCAGCCGAUCGUUCGGCUCUGGCUGCUCUGCUCCCUCGCUUUCCUUGCAGCCCAGCUCGCUGCUUUGCACUUCCGAUCACUGCAGAAGGCCGAAAUAUCACGCAAAUGCUGUUUCACUGUAUUAAUGCCCCGGUGUGCGGUGACACACUGCAGACCCUGCGCAGGAAACACAGAAUGACCCCAGGGCGCGCUGGGAAACAGGAUUGAGGAUCAACCUUCUCCGCCAACGGAGGUUCUUGCCCUUUAAGAAAAAGCCUGCAGUAAUUUUCCAUUACCCUGCACAGUCUUGUCUACGUGGCAAGAAUUGUUUGUGGAAGCUGGAGCAUCACGGGUGAGGCGCAAGCUCCAAUCCGGCUGCCGUUGCUUGGCUACGCGCUCGGCAUGCCGGCAGCACGCCAGGCUCCUGGGAAGCACCUUUGUUCCCCGAGAAGGGAUUUGAGUUGUGUUUUCAUGCCGAAAGCUGGGGACAAAUGCUGAUUUUCUCAAGCAGCCUGGCAGAGCUGGGCUUUCCAAACAGCAUGAGCCAGCCAAAAUGUUCAGUGAUAAUACUAAUAAUAAUAUGUGUGGAGUCCAUCUCCUGUGAUGGUUUCUCUUCCUUUGAACAAGGAAAUGUAACGAGCUCAUGAUGUUUGUUUGCUGUUGCACUGAUCCUAACCGGCACUUAAUCAAGGCAGUGUGUUGAAUUGGGCAGAAAUACUGUCAGCAAAAUCCUCCCCCGCUCUUGUUGUUUCUGUCUAAUAAACCAGACGGAUUGCUGUUGUUCUGCAACUUGAUAAGCGGAUUAUUUUUUUUUAAUGUAAGGUCUGGAGUCCUGACAGGAGAGUCUCUGCUUGAGGCUUGAGGGUUGUCUGAAAUAUCUGAAAUAUUUCAAAUGCCACUAGCAGAAUCUGCAGCAGCACGGAGGAGCAGGUCUGUGUGCUGUCCCUGCUCACUGGCACUUGGGAGCAUGGCUGGAACAGGCGUUUCCAUGAUGUCUCAACAUGGCUUCAGCUUAUUUUAUCUGUGUGAGGCUUGAUACUUCCAUUAAUAAGAGAGCUCUGUGUUCCUUCUAGCAGCCCAUGCUGUCAAGGACUCUCCCUGCACCAGCAGCCAAACCUACACUGAUAAUUGUUAAGCAAACAAGUGUGUGUUCCCCCUACCCCCCUCCGCUGCCAUUUGCCUUUUGCAGCAGCUCCAGGCACCUUCAAGAGUAUGAAUAAACAUGUCAUUUGGGGGUGUGGAAAUGUGAGAAUUGAAAAAUUUGAUAUAAAGUGGAACACACUGAGCAUCAGCCUUAAUUCUGCUUCAUGAAGUAUGAAGCCCAAGGGGAAUUUUGUGCUCGCGGUCUCACAUCCUUCAUCACACAGACGAACAAACAUCACCCAGCAGAGCCCUGGCACAACUACAGAGGGACCACCUACCCAGUGCUGCUCCUUGAGGGGCUCCAUAUGCAUGGUGGCUUUGAGGUGUCUCUCCUGGGCACAGGCAUAGCUCUCCCUGCAGCCCUGUCACCCUGCAACAUGUGUCUCCUAACCACAACCUCUCUGAGGUUUACAGUUUAAAGAUACUGGCUUCCUGCAGUUUCUCUUGCAAAUUAGCAAUGUUCUCUGCUUUCUGGGCUCCUUUUUGGUCCUGUUUUCUCACAUCCAGCCUUUCCAUCACCUCCUCCUCACCCCUGGUGCUGAGGGCUCCACUGCUGCCACCCAGCAGCUCAGUUGAUGCCACGACCAUCUGGGGACCUGCACAGUGUUCCCCACCUCCUGGAGAGCCAUGCAGGAAGGGUGGAGUUGGGCAUGUAGCAGCCUGGCUACAUGCCAUCUGUCACCUGGAAUAUGCUUGUCCUCCAUCAGUGAAGUGUGCCUUGUGUGAUGGGAAUGACUGAGCAGACAUUUAGGAUGACUCUUGAUAAAACAAUGACCACAGAACACUCCUGUAACUCUUCAGACCGUGUUUACAGCCAAGAUGCUGAGAUAAAGAACACUGCUUGCAGCUUCUACCUUUUAAAGUGAUUUUAAACCCUACCACUGUUACUAAUCCUUGCAUGUUUCCAGUCCUGGAAGUUUCCAAGCAGCUAAUUUCAUCAGUGCAGAGCACUUAGUGUGUAAGUCAGGUCACAGCACCUGCCUUUUCAUGCUGUACCCACGGGCACUGCAAUCCCUGGGAAGGUGCACUUUAGUUUCUUAUUUGCUUUCCGGGGUGAUUUCAGUAAUGAGCAAAGUUGCAUCAUUCUUUUUCGUGUGAGGAGACAUGUAAUAACUCGUUAACACUUUUAUCAAUUCCAGUGUCUAAGUAGGUACAGGCAAAAUAGUCAGUCAGUGUUUUUUCUACCAUGUCCCAGUCCUCUUAUAAAAGUUUUUCAAGCCAAGCAGAACAGUUUGUUACCUAAAAGCUGACCUUGAAAAAACAGAUCACUGGAUACAAGUAGCAAGGUUUAAAAAAGGGGGGUGAAGAAACAGAUUUCUUCUAAGAACAAUGAUUUACAUUAAGAAGCAAUUAAACAUAUUCUUCCAAUCACCCCUAUUCUUUAAGUUUGAAACAGUCUGGAGUUUAAAAGUCUCGGAAGAUAUCAUCAAAAUAAGGACUACUGUGUCUUUCUGACUUUUCUUACACCUCUAAGGCUGCCAUUUAAGGCAGUAACUGUGUGUUAGAUGUUGACCAAAUACAGCAUAAAUACUUUGACUGAGAUGAUCUCUAUUUCCUACAGUUAAGAUGGCAACAUGGGAUAAUUUGAAGAUGAUCUGUAAUAACAACAAAGAACUUCAAGUUUCAAACCUCCUUAAAAAAGUGGACUCGAUUUCCCCAAAAAAAAUGUGUGUACAUUCCUUAGUCAAGUUAAUAUAAAGUGUGAUAAUCAAUCCUCUCACCAAACAAUAGUUGCUGUUCUGUCAUUUGUCUUAUUGUACACAGGAACUCAUGCAAAACUGAAACAGCAAUGUGGGUCGGUUGUUAAGGAGCUCGUAGAUCUAAAAUUUGAGCUCAGGCCACAAGAUCACAUGUACAGCAACAGAACCGAUUCUUUGAUGCAUUGUGACCACCAAGUUAAAAAUUUGCUUAGGAGAGAUCAUUAAAUCCCACAGAAUACAUUGAAUCCUUUUUUGACUUCCAUUUAGUCAUUAUACUUUUUAUUAAUAACUUAUUUUCCUUUGAAAACAGGAAUAAAAAGAGCUGAAUCUUGGUUAGAGUAGCUUCAUUUUGAAUAAAAUGAAAAAAACACUGGAGUUUGGCUUAGACUGAAAGAUUUUUUCUUUACCAUAUGUUUAUGACACUGAUAAGAAUUUGUUUCUAAUUACUCAUGGUAAUAAAUCUUUUUCUUGCUGCACACAAGGUUCCUCAUUCUGAACAUGAGCCCCAUAAAAGUGCCAGCAAACCCUCCUUAUUAACAUAAUCU